AACGAACGCUGGCGGCAGGCCUAACACAUGCAAGUCGAACGAACCUUUUUAGGUGAGUGGCGCACGGGUGCGUAACGCGUGGGAAUAUGCCCUUAGGUGAGGAAUAACGUAGAGAAAUUUGCGCUAAUACCUCAUAUAGACUCCGGUCCAAAGAUUUAUCGCCUAAGGAUUAGCCCGCGUCAGAUUAGAUAGUUGGUGAGGUAACGGCUCACCAAGUCGACGAUCUGGUAGGGGGU
rnacentral:rRNA from 1 species